GAAGCAGACUGUUGCUCAAGUCUUUGGGUGGACACAGAGCAGAGAACAAGACUGGAAGAUCAGCAGAGCGUUUCACAAACUCCUCUGUCAUCUGUGGUUUAUUAGUGUGCUGCUGUUUCCAUUCUGACAUCAUCAUCAUCAUCAUCAUCUUCAAACUGAUGAUGGUUUGACCUUUGGUGAACUGGUUAGGCUGGGUCUGACUAGUCCUUUGACCAACUGACUCACUAGCGCCACCACCUGCUGAAAGUUUAGUCAUGUCUGAGCUUCACUUUCAGGACAAACAAGCUCUUCUGUCUCUGUGUUUUGAUGAGGCUCAUGGUAGAAAAGUUCAACGUCACCAUCCUUCAUUCAUCACGGCCUUUAAUCAACUACAGCACGAGAUUUAUAAAACCGCUGAUGUACUACACACAGGUGGAAGAGUUGAUGUGAAUGAUGUUGGACAGAAGCAGCAGAGAAAGACAGACAGGAUCUGCAUGUCAUCAUGGCAUGAUAUGAUCAUCCGGCUCUCUCUCAGGGCAGAUGAUUCUGUCGUGGCCACACAGACCGUGCCCCCCACCUCGGGUAAACACCACUGAUUCUCCCACAGUAAAUCAGAGCGGGGUGUUUGUCCGGGUGGAAGUGGGAGAGUCUCGGAGGGGUUCGGAGGACCACAGCAGCUUCACACACACGGCACGCUCUCGGCCUCAGAGAUCCUCGUCAUCACUGAUGUCUCCGAGCCGUUCCCUCGCUGAACACAUGUGAGCUGGGGUCUUCUCUGAUGUUGUUUUUUCAGCGAAGGCUGAUGGAAGAAUUCCCAACCUGCUCGUAUUCACGAGAGAUUCAUUAGAGUUUGGCUGAGAACAGUGUUGGCAGACGCUUCAGUAUUUAUGUCCGCAAUAAUAGCUUUAUGCUUUUAACUUGCAUAAUCAUACGUUUCAUGUCUCAUUACUCACAUUACAUCAUGUUUUACACCUGCACUCAAUUCAUCCUUCAAAACAGAGAGUGUGUGUCAGAGGUGAAAAGAGUUCACAGAUUUCAUGGUUAAUGCGAGCGACGUUCCAGAUGAUGACAGGCUGUAAGUUGUGUGCUAAUAUUUACUUUAGACAGUCGGUCUGCUGAAAGACAGAUAUCGAUAUUAUGAUCCUUGUCCCAGCGGAGCGAUGCUGUUCUUUUCCUCUUGUCUCUGUGCUUGUUUGUGUACUCUGGCCUGAUGUUGUUGAUCUGGUAAACAUCUCAAACACAUCAGACUUCACCUGCAGUGUGUCCCGUCAGAUUCUCACAGUCUUGAUGAUUCUGCGCCUCAUCUGAGGACUUCAUAAUGAUUUGACGGGGGG